rnacentral:lncRNA from 7 species
AGCAAAACUAGCAUGCACCAUGUAGCUUAUCCUCCUCUGUCUGAGCGGUGAAGUUAAUACAGGAAUACUGAAAAUGGCCUUCUGGGCAAGACCCAACCAUCAACAGUUCUUGGAGCAGCCUGUAGCAGCGUUCUGGGGAAGGAGUGUAAGCAACAAGACAGAGACAUUGCUUAUCCCCGGUGGGGAAGAUGAGAUGCAGAGCAGGGUAGUUUUUGUGAAGUCACUGAGUCAGUCCCUGGCUGGAGCAAGGAGAGAAUGUACUGUUGUGGACACCUUGUUGGGUGACUGGUCCCCAUUCCGGACAGCGUGUGAGCCACUCCCAUGGUUCACACACUUGUUGCAUAGAUAUUCGAGUUCUUCUGUAAGAGCAUAUGUUUAUGACAGAUGGUAACAUGGCUACUCUUCUGAUAAUAUUCAGUUCUUAACAUAAAGAUUUUAUCUGCAAAUAGAACUAAACUAUAACUUUACUAAAAUCCAGAUGGUUAUACUUAAUGCAAGCUAAAAUACGUAGUAUCUGCAAGCAUUUUGAUAUUUUCCUUUAACAGAACUGAGUAAUGAUGGAAAACAGUAGGAAUGUAUUUAAAUAACCCCAAUAAGACAGCAGUUGACAGAAUAAAAUCCUGCCUCUGGGGUUUUUUUG